GAGGGUUUUCACCAAGAGAUAACCUACUCUAAAGCUGCAGUUUCCACGAGUCCAUACCAUAUUACCCACCAGUAUAUCCUCGUGUUUUAUCACUUAUAUUUUUUCCUUCCACGUGGCAAAUUUUCGAAGAGAGCUGAUGACAGAAAGGCAGCCUUUAAUCAGACUCUCCGGGCUGUAAAGUGAGAGAAUCUGAACGUGACGUCAAUGCCUAGUAACUGACGCAGCCCUUAGAAAAAAGAAAAGAAAAAAAGGCUUUUUAUUUAUUAUUUUUCGUCUUCUCGUCAGCAAAGCUUAAUUAUUAAAUAUAAGAGUGCUAUGUCGUAUGUCGACUAAAAGAAAAAAUAAAAUCCUUCAGGGACCGCCGGGCAGUCCGUGCUGAUCAGCAUUUGGACCUAUUUAGCGUUCAUGAGUUUCAGCUGCUGAAGUGACACUGGGACGAGAAGAUUCUGAAGAGGGCGACAAGACAUCAAAUAUUGUCGAUGUGUCGAACAAGGACGUGACUGCAAACUGAGGAAUCUUACUGACAGAAAAGCGACGCUGGAAGAGGAAGAGGAGGGAGUGAUGUGAAGGAGCUGUUGCUGCAGCAGAGACCAGGCACACCGCAUGGGGAAACCCGGGAGCUGUCCAGCAGCAAUGGAGAGAACAAUGACAACAUGAGUGAAGAUGGAAACGGGGUGACUUAGGAGCUCAGGUGGACUUGACUGCUGCUGCUGGAGCCUUCAGCUGGGCGCCGGUGAGAAAAGGUGACCUACGAUUUGGAUGUAUGCACCGAGGAUCGACUGAAAGAGGGACCGACCGAUCGACCUUCCUUCCUCCCCCUUUCCUCUGUCCUCCCUCACCUUCUCUCUCUCUCUUCUCCAUCUUGAGACAGGGGCCUGAAGUGAGGAUUGACAGAGGGGAAAUCCUGACUGACUGAAACCCAGCAGAUGAGUUCUUCUCUUCUCUUCUUUUUUUCUUUUUUUUACCUUCCACCCCUUCGCUUUCUGCUCUUCCAUUUCUCCACCCUGAAUACCUGCUACUUUGUCUCUCUCGUCUCCUUCACACCCGUGUCCUUCAUCUCCUCACCCCGUGCAGCUAAUUGUUCCUGAUCCAGCCUUGGCUUCUUGGAUUAAGCUGUUACUUUGAGGACUGAACUGUCGAUGAGACAAAACAACUUUUAAUAGAGAGAUGUUCACGAACAAGUUGAAUCAGACGUGAUAACAAACUGUUCCUCACUUUGUCUUCACAGUUAAUGGAUGACGGUCAAAAAGAAAGAAAAUGGAAACUAACACGACCAAUGACAGAAAAGAAGAAAAGGUUAGAAAACAAAAGCUCUUGGAUCCAGCAGGGUGGGAGCAGCAGCUGGACGGGCAACACUCAGAUCAAGCAACACUUUUGUUUCCAUCAGCACCGCCUGAAAUUCCAGAAAGUCAAACAGGUUUAAGUAAGACACAUCCACACCCCUUGCACUCAGAACCAGUCAGAGUGGCCUAAUCCUGGGGCAAAGUAAACAGGGUGUGACCUGUGAUUGCUCUAGUAUGAAUGAAAUCUUUUCUUAUUGAAUGUGAAGUUAUAAUUUUUGAAGAAACUACAUUUCUCAAAAUCUAAAGUCAUUUCUUUCCACCACAAACUCAGAAAACAAUUAUCUCAGUUUCAAAAAUUAGAAAAUCAAGGCAAACCCUAAAUACAUUUGGCAAGUUUGCACAGGUACAGGUGGAAAACAAAUUGCAAAAACAAGCAAAAAAGGUGGAGCAAGGAAAGGAAAAGAGCCCAGUCAAGUUCCAACAAGCACAGCAGGAAUAAUCUCAGUUAAAAAAAACCAUCUAUAGCAAUGAACCAACCAGUUUAUGUCAGUAAAUGCAGGGAAAUUAUGCUUCCGCUUAAGUACGCCUCCAAGAACCAGUUUUAAACCACCUUUUAGACUACGUCAGCAUAUUUGAGACUCUUUAAAGCUGCAGAAAGAGAGAGACUUAGUCAUGAUUAAACAAUGCAGGUAGAUAAAUUGUAUUCCAGCUCUUAAGUAGCUUCUGGAACAUAAGGCGAAAACACUACCCCGGCCUAAUGUGACCUAAGGUGACAUCGCUGAUUAUGGAGUUUGUUUGUUUGUUUGUUUGUUUUAUUUCUUGUUAGUAAAACUUUGUUAUUUUAAGAUAUUCUAUCAGCUAUUGAUAAAUUAAAUCUCAUACUAAUUCUCUGAUUAUCAAACCAAUGUCAGGGGUUGCUGAGUGGAUGUGGAGAAAAGGACUCAAACGCAGGACUCACGGUGAAGAUUCAGGGUGUUUAUUGUGAGGGACGAAUGACGAAAACAGGAGAUGGCUGACUGACUGAAUAACUGAAUGAACGGCUGACUGAUCUGAACUUGGAAGGCAAACAUGGGUCAUAGACAGCAGUGACAACAUCAAUGACGCGACGCCGACCAGGAGAGAGCUGAGGACUUAAAUACACUGGCUGAACAAUGACUGAUAGGUGACAGGUGAGUGAGCAGCUGAACACAAUUGAACUAAUGAUGCAUGGAAUAAGAACUAGAACAUAAUGCACACAGAGUAACGUAACACAAAACAGGAAGUGGAACGUACAGAGGAUAAACAGUGAACAUGAACUGAAAAUACUGGGUCAACGACCCAGAAACCCUGACAACCAAUUCUUUAGGGACCCCAUAAAGGAACUUUGGAUCCUGAAUUAGGGAAGAGUUUUGAAUUCCAGAAUACCAAAUCUGAGUUCUUUAUCUUUCAACCACAAGAAAAUAUAAAAAUUUGUAUGUCACCAGAAUUUUAAACUCUAUAUUGAAGACUUAGGACAUGAAAACAAUGGGAAGACCACUUAAAAAAACAGAGAAGUUCAGCUUUCUAGGGAAAACGGCACUAAAGUCCCUUUAACAUUGAAAACAUGCGCUGGGUAAAUCUCUGCCCUACAGGAUUAAGUAUUUUCUACAAAAUUUGUAAAAAUGUCUUGACAAGAAAUGAUCCGAAGGGUUUUUUUGAGUCUGUACCGAUGCUUCUGUGUCUGGAUUUAAGCUUAAUGAUUGCUUACACAGUCAACCACCAGUUUAUAAGGCACGGCGAGGAAAGACUAACACACUCUGAUACAGUUUGAAUUCAUUUCCCAAAAAUAUCUUAUGAGGACUGUAAAAACUUUGAUAUUUGUAAUAAAAAUUGUUAAAUGGAAAAAAGCGAUAUUGUGUUAUACUGAUGGACGGUUCUGUUUAUUGAUGUCAAUAGGGUGGACAAAAUAAUGGAAACAUCUUUCAGUAUAAUGCAAUACAAUACAAGAUAAAGCUGAAUCUAAACCUCUAUAAAACCAAUCUUUCAUUUUAAACCAUUUUAAACCUUCAAUCACUUUUUGUUGUACUGAUUUUAUUUACUGAUUUAUUGUAGGACUGUUGUAUCAUAAUACCAAGGAUUAUUAAUUAAUUUUAAUUUUAAAGGUUAGUGGCAAGGUUUGCAGAGAGACACCUUUAGAAACUGGCUGAAUAAAUAAAUAUGCCUAAAUCUUCAUCAUAUUGAAGUAUUCUUCUAAAGGCAAAUAUGAGACAAUCUGAGAGCCUAAAUUAACAUAUAUAUGUACUUACUGGAGACCUAAAUACCUCACAUAUGAAGUAUUUAGAAAUUCUACUGCAGGGUCAGCACCUAACUCAGAGGUUAUUGUGCCUUGGCGCACACUUGGUGCCAGGUGGCUUGCUGUCCUGUGCGUCAUUUUGAAAAUUCCUCACAGCAGAUACAGUAAGAGCUGGUGAAGUGGCAAAAUGGCAUUUUGAGAUAUCGUACUGAUGUUGUAAACGUCUGAAAUGUCAAGCAGCAGAUUAAAUGUAAAAAGUUGUGUAAUUUGAAUGUAAAUUUGAAACUGCUUUUAAUGCAGAUGUAAAACUGCUAAUGCCAAACUUAAAAAAAAUACAUUUUAUUUUAACUCCUUUAAAUUUUGCUCACAUGGUGGUAUUGCUUUCUAAUUUACUAGAUUCUGUGUGCGUGUAUGUGUAUGUGUGUGUGUGUGUGUGUGUGUGUGUACAGAAAUUCUGUUUCUGAUCACUUUCAUAUAUAGCUACUAAAUGUAAAAUUGUGCAGUGUGUGUAAGAAUGACUUCAUGCACAUGAAUGUCAAUGCCUUCAAAAACGUGAGCGUCAAUAGUUGUCCGUGUGUGUGUAGGAAAUUGCGUUUGUCUAAAUGUCUUUCUGAGCACCUACGUAGAUAUAUUCCAAGUGUGUGCAACAUAAUACACAUUAACCCACUCAUUCCCACAGAGCUGGACAUGAAAAAGUAACACUUCUAAUAAAAUUGUUAAUGUAGAAUUGCAGGAAGGUAC